UGGGGAAUUUUGGACAAUGGGGGAAACCCUGAUCCAGCCAUCCCGCGUGUGCGAUGAAGGCCUUCGGGUUGUAAAGCACUUUUGGCAGGAAAGAAACGUCAUGGGUUAAUACCCCGUGAAACUGACGGUACCUGCAGAAUAAGCACCGGCUAACUACGUGCCAGCAGCCGCGGUAAUACGUAGGGUGCAAGCGUUAAUCGGAAUUACUGGGCGUAAAGCGUGCGCAGGCGGUUCGGAAAGAAAGAUGUGAAAUCCCAGAGCUCAACUUUGGAACUACAUUUUUAGCUACCGGGCUAGAGUGUGUCAGAGGGAGGUGGAAUUCCGCGUGUAGCAGUGAAAUGCGUAGAUAUGCGGAGGAACACCGAUGGCGAAGGCAGCCUCCUGGGAUAACACUGACGCUCAUGCACGAAAGCGUGGGGAGCAAACAGG
rnacentral:rRNA from 1 species